GGCACCUACUACCAGACUCUGUUCAAAGGGACUUAAAUCUUUUGUCUUGCUCAUUCACACUCUGAAUGACACACAUACACAAUCCAUGUCUCAAUUGUCUAAAAAUCAUUCUUUAACCUGUCUCCUCCCCUUCAUCUACACUGAGAAGAAGAUUUAACAAUUGACAUCAAUAAGGGAUUAUAGCUUUCACCUGAUUAAUCUAUGUCACGGAAAGAGAAGGUGUUCUUAAUGUUUAACACACUCAGUGUAUGUGUCAAUGAUGUUAUAGAUUCCAAGUGGUUGAUUUUUUAGGGAAUUACUAUAUGCUCUAUGUUAUACCUGCAGAUCAUCACAGCAGCCGAAGUUGCUGCACAGAGGGAGGAGAUCCUCCAAACAGCCAGUGUCCCUGCACAGAGGGAGGGGAUUCUCCAAACAGCCAGUGUCCCUGCGCAGAGGGAGGGGAUUCUCUCAGCAGCUAGCAUCAAUGCACAGAGGGAGGAGAUCCUCCGAUCAUCAGGUCUCCUCCCUGCACAGAGGGAGGGGAUCCUCCAAACAGCCAGUGUCCCUGCGCAGAGGGAGGGGAUUCUCUCAGCAGCUAGCAUCAAUGCACAGAGGGAGGAGAUCCUCCGAUCAUCAGGCCUCAUCCCUGCACAGAGGGACGGGAUCCUCCAAACAGCCAGUGUCCCUGCGCAGAGGGAGGAGAUCCUCCAAACAGCCAGUGUCCCUGCGCAGAGGGAGGGAAUCCUCCGAACAGCCAGUGUCCCUGCACAGAGGGAGGGAAUCAUCCGAACAGCCAGUGUCCCUGCACAGAGGGAGGAGAUCCUCCAAACAGCCAGUGUCCCUGCACAGAGGGAGGGGAUUCUCUCAGUAGCCAGCAUCAAUGCACAGAGGGAGGAGAUCCUCCGAUCAUCAGGCCUCAUCCCUGCACAGAGGGAGGGGAUCCUCCAAACAGCCAGUGUCCCUGCGCAGAGGGAGGGAAUCGUACCAAUGGCCAGCGUCCCAGCGCACAGCGAGGGGAUUGUCCCAAAGGCUAGUGUCCCUGCUGAGAGGGAGGAGGUCCUCCGAGCAUCAGGCCUCAUCCCUGCACAUAAGGAGGGGAUCCUCCGAGCAUCAGGCCUCAUCCCUGUACAGAGGGAGGGGAUUCUUCCAGCAGCUUCUAUCACUGCGCGGAAGAAGAAGAUCCUCAGAGCAUCACACGUCACCCAUGCACAAAGGGAGUUGAUCCUCCUGAUGGCCAGUGUCACUGCGCAGAGGAAAGGAAUCUUCCCAAAGGCCAGCGUCCCUGCGCACAGGGAGUGGAUCGUCCCAAAGGCUAGUGUCCCUGCAGAGAGGGAGGAGAUCUUCCUCACAACCAGUGUCCCUGUGAAGAAUGGAAACAAUCAUCCACAACCACCUCCCAUCAUCCCCAUGGUGGCACCACUGUGGAAAUGGGAUGGUCGAGCGUGUACUCCACCUGUGGAUUUCUAUUCCAAGAGAAGAGAUGUCCGACUUAGAUAUGUUGAGCAUCCUGCUAUGAUGUCCAUCACCAAGCCGGAACAUUCCGAUGCCAACCCUCAGUGCCAGACUGGCAGCCGGCCGGUGGCUGAGCCCGAGACCCCUGCUGUUCACAAUAACAGUGGAGGCUGGCUCAGCUGGGUCUUUGGGAGUGGAAGAGUUAAUAAGAAGGAGGUUCAUCUACCUGAGGACAAAGACAGAUCUGUAAGGAACUGGUUAUUAACACUUUAUUCUAUGUAG
ensembl:lncRNA